rnacentral:rRNA from 1 species
UACGUAGGGCGCGAGCGUUGUCUGGAAUUAUUGGGCGUAAAGAGCUCGUAGGUGGCGUGUCGCGUCUGCCGUGAAAGCCCAUGGCUUAACUGUGGGUCUGCGGUGGAUACGGGCAGGCUGGAGGCUGGUAGGGGCAAGCGGAAUUCCUGGUGUAGCGGUGAAAUGCGCAGAUAUCAGGAGGAACACCGGUGGCGAAGGCGGCUUGCUGGGCCAGUUCUGACGCUGAGGAGCGAAAGCGUGGGGAGCGAACAGG